rnacentral:pre_miRNA from 1 species
CUGGGACACCAGUGUGUGACGUCGUGCGAGCCGCAGCUGGCCAAGCAGGCUGUCCUGCGGCUGGUGGGAGGUACCACUGUGUUUGAG